UUAGAUGGUUAAGUUCUUGGUUAAUUUCCAUGUGAUCAGAGUUCGAAUCUUGUCACGCCUGGUCGAUAUAUUUAACUAGCCAUUACUUAGAUAGUCUUGUGGACCCUUGCUUCUCUACAUGGAGGAUAGCCCAUGCAAUCAUUGGGUUGGGCCGAAUGGUGGCCCAUUGGUCGCAGGUGGUCUAGGCCAUAAAGGACGGCCCAUAAGGGGCCAUUAACAAGGCUAGCCCAUAAGGGUUCACCCAAGAUAAUUUCUUAAAGAGGGCC
rnacentral:lncRNA from 1 species